rnacentral:rRNA from 1 species
AUACGGAGGACGCGAGCGUUAUCCGGAUUCAUUGGGUUUAAAGGGUGCGCAGGCGGCCGUGCAAGUCAGCGGUGAAAGCCCGGGGCUCAACCCCGGAAGUGCCGUUGAUACUGCAUGGCUGGAAUGCGGUCGAGGCGGGCGGGACGGGGCGGGUAGGGGGGAAAAGCGUUGAUAUGCCACAGAACGCCGAUAGCGGAGGCAGCUCGCCAGGCCUGCAUUGACGCUCGGGCACGAAAGCGUGGGGAUCGAACAGGAUUAGAUACCCUGGUAGUCCACGCCGUAAACGAUGGGCGCUCGUCGUCGGCGACAGACAGUCGGCGGCCAAGCGAAAGCGAUAAGCGCCCCACCUGGGGAGUACAGUCGCAAGGCUGAAACUCAAAGGAAUUGACGGGG